ACAGCAACCAUUGAAAACAUUGAAUAGCAGGCUCCUGACUUGGGACAGGGACAUAAAGACAAGCUAAAAUGAUUCUUUUAUUCAUAACAGAUCAUUAAAAUUGUGUAGAUGAUAGUUUGAAUUAGACCUUCAGAUCUUUAAGUUUUGCAAUUGAUAAGAUGCUAAAUUCCAGAAGUCAAUAGAAAAUUGUAAUAAAAUCUGACAUCAUAUCUUGAACAUACAUAUACAUUUUUCCAAUAUUUAAAAUACUGUAAGUUCAGAAUUAUUCCGAGUUUUUUAUUAAUGCGAAUAAUUCGAAACCUUGAGUAUCCCAAUAAUAAGAACUUGCAUUCUGCUAUCUUGUACAUAUAUCCGUAUGGAGCUUUUCCUAAAAUAGCAA